GAUGAAGAACGUAGCGAAAUGCGAUACGUAAUGUGAAUUGCAGAAUUCAGUGAAUCAUCGAAUCCUUGAACGCAUAUUGCGCUCUCUGGUAUUCCGGAGAGCAUGCUUGUUUGAGUAUCAGUAAACACCUCAACUUCCAUAUCUUUUUUGAAAUGGGAGUUGGACUUGAGUGAUCCCAACGCUUUUCCUCACCGAAAAGUGGCGGGUUACUUGAAAUGCAGGUGCAGCUGGACUUUUCUCUGAGCUAUAAGCAUAUCUAUUUAGUUUGCCUAAAAAACAGAUUAUUACCUUUGCUGCAGCUAACAUAAAGGAGAUUAGUUCUUGUGCUGACUGAUGCAGGAUUCACAAAGACGGCUUCGGCCGACUUUGUAAACUCGAUCUCAAAUCAAGUAAGACUACCCGCUGAACUUAAGCAUAUCAAUAAGCGGAGGA
rnacentral:misc_RNA from 1 species